rnacentral:piRNA from 1 species
UAAAAUAUUUGCUAAGACAAC